AAGAUACUACCCUUUCGUCCGGAAAUAUUUGUCAUAAAAUUGGAUAAAAAGAGAUGUAUUUAGAACUAAAAUACAUCUAAAUACAUCUCAUUUUAUUUAUUUUGAUGACAAAUAUGUUCAGACGGAGGAAGUACAGA
rfam:Triticum aestivum genome assembly, contig: Triticum_aestivum_CS42_TGACv1_scaffold_227024_3B